AUACGUAGGUGACAAGCGUUAUCCGGAUUUACUGGGCGUAAAGGGCGUGUAGGCGGUCUUGCAAGUCAGAAGUGAAAUUCCUGAGCUCAACUCGGGCGCUGCUUCUGAAACUGCAGGACUUGAGUGCUGGAGGGGAUAGCGGAAUUCCUAGUGGAGCGGUAAAAUGCGCAGAUAUUAGGAAGAACACCGGUGGUGAAGGCGGCUAUCUGGACAGUAACUGACGCUGAGGCGCGAAAGCGUGGGGAGCAAACAGGAUUAGAUACCCUGGUAGUCCACGCUGUAAACGAUGAAUGCUAGGUGUUGGGUCUACGGACUCGGUGCCGCAGUUAACGCAAUAAGCAUUCCACCUGGGGAGUACGACCGCAAGGUUGAAACUCAAAUGAAUUGACGGGG
rnacentral:rRNA from 1 species